ACUUAAAUUGAAGAGUUUGAUCAUGGCUCAGAUUGAACGCUGGCGGCAGGCCUAACACAUGCAAGUCGAGCGGUAGCACAGAGAGCUUGCUCUCGGGUGACGAGCGGCGGACGGGUGAGUAAUGUCUGGGAAACUGCCUGAUGGAGGGGGAUAACUACUGGAAACGGUAGCUAAUACCGCAUAACGUCGCAAGACCAAAGUGGGG
rnacentral:rRNA from 1 species